GACGAACGCUGGCGGCGUGCCUAACACAUGCAAGUCGAACGGAAAGGCCGGCUUUCCCUUGUGGGUUGCGGGUACUCGAGUGGCGAACGGGUGAGUAACACGUGAGUGAUCUGCACUCAAGUUGGGAAUAAGCCUGGGAAACUGGGUCUAAUUUUCGAGAGGACGGCAGGGGGGUGCCUGUGGUGGGAAACGAUUUGCGAGUGGGUGGGGAUAGGCUUGCGGCCUAUCAGCUUGUUGGUGGGGGAAUGGCCUACCGAGGCGGCGACGGGGAGCCGGGCUGAGAGGCUGGACCGUCGCGUUGGGGAUGGGCUCCCGCCCCGGGUCUGACGCGAGGCCGCGGUUGGGAAGAGUGCACGCGGGGCGGAAGCCUAGACCAGCGACGCCGCGCGGAGGAUGCCGGGCUUCGGGUUGUAAGCUACUUUCGGCCGCGGGGAAGCCACCUGGUUGGGAGGGUGGUGACGGUACUGGUAGAAGAAGCCCCGGCUAACUACGUG
rnacentral:rRNA from 1 species